AUGAAGCCCUCCUCGUGGAGCACGGAGAGAUGCGCCCGGACAUUCUACGUCGCGGUGCUCCUCUCCGUCGCCCUUUGGGCCCUCAUAUUCUACUCCACCAGCUUGCAAUCCCAAUCCGGCGAUGCUCUCAGCAAGCCGCCGGCCUUCCUCUCGCCCCGCUCUGCCCGUCCGGGCCCGUCGUGCGCCGGCCGGUACGUGUACAUGUACGACCUGCCGCCCCGGUUCAACGCCGACCUCGCCCGCGACUGCCGCAUGCUCUCGGCGUCCACCGACAUGUGCAGGCACGUGGUCAACGACGGGUUCGGCCCGCCGAUCACCGACGGCGGCGCGCUCCCCGAGAGCGGAGCCUACGCCACCGACCAAUACAUGCUGGAGCUGAUCUUCCACGCCCGGAUGAGGCAGUACGAGUGCCUCACGCCCGACCCCGCCGCCGCCGCCGCGGUCUACGUCCCGUUCUACGCCGAGUUCGACCUGGCGAUGCGCAUCGACAACAGCGACAUGUCGGCGCGGAACGCGCUGCCGCGGGACGUUGCGGACUGGCUGGUGCGGCGGCCCGAGUGGCGCGCCAUGGGGGGCCGCGACCACUUCAUGCUAGCCAGCCGGCCCACAUGGGACCUGCUCUGCGACCCCAACCAUGGCGGAUAUGGCAACUCCCUCAUGACCUACCCGGCCAUCCGCAACAUGACGGUGCUCGCCUUCGAGGCCAGCCCGUGGCAGGGCAACGACUUCGCCGUGCCGUACCCGUCGCACUUCCACCCUUCCUCCGACGCCCAGGUCGCCGCCUGGCAGAGCCGCAUGCGCGGGCUGGAGCGCCGGCGGCUAUGGUGCUUCGCCGGCGGGUCCCGCCACGAGAGCAGGAAGACCGGGCGCAACCAGAUCAUCGAGCAGUGCCGCAGGUCGAGCCGCUGCGCCUUGCUCGGCAAAGCAGCGGUGACCAAGAGCCCGGGGGAGUACACCCAGGGGGAGUACUCGCCGAGCCAUGCCAUGCGGCUGCUGGAGAGCGCCGAGUUCUGCGUACAGCCGCGGGGGGACUCGUACACGCGCAAGUCCAUCUUCGACACCAUCCUCGCCGGCUGCAUCCCGGUCUUUCUCCACCCGAUCUCGGCGUACGUCCAGUACACGUGGUACCUGCCCAGGGACUACAGGGCCUACUCGGUGUUCAUCCCCCAGCGCGACGUGAUCGGCCGGAACGCGAGCAUCGAGGAGGUGCUGAGGAAGAUACCGCCGGCGAAGGUGGCGCGGAUGCGGGAGGAGGUCGUCCGGCUCAUACCGUCCGUGAUGUACAGGGAGCCGGCGGCAAAGGGGGUGGAGUUCAAGGACGCGUUCGACGUCGCGGUGGAACGGGUCAUCGACCGGGUGGCGAAGCGCCGCCGCGCCGCGGCCGAGGGCCGGGAGUGCCGGGACAGCGUCGACGGGUACGAUAGCUGGAAGUACGACUUGCUUGAGGAUGGCCAGACAGAAAUAGGUCCGCACGAGUUUGAUCCAUUUAUGUCCAUGUAA
rnacentral:rRNA from 1 species